rnacentral:sRNA from 1 species
CAGGGAAAGGCCAUGAUGUUGCAUCUCUGGGAAGAGGAUAUUGCUGUGCUAAAGGUUUGGGAUGGGGGCCUGAGCCUUUUAUGUAGCCGAAGCCCGAAAGGUGGGUAGUGAGCCUAAAACAGAAGGGGGCAAGGACAAAGAGGGAGAUGGCAAGAUCAGUAAUAGUAUCUCUGGGGCAGGUCGCUACUAAACUGGAGAACAAAACUUCGGCGAUAUGUGGCCAAGAAGCUGAAAGAACAAGCAAAGGCACUGGACAUCAGCCUCAGCUCUGGAGAGGAAGAUGAAGGUAAUGAGGAGGACUCAACAGCUGGAACCACAGAGCAGCCCUCUAAGGAGGAGGAGGAGGAGGAACAACUGAACCAGACCUUGGCAGAAAUGAAGGCCCAGGAGGUGGCGGAAUUGAAGAG